CAUCAUUUAAAGAAAAACCAUCUCCAUGGGAGUUUGGAUCAGCACCUACGGGCAUGUUAACCUUGCAGAGACUUCAGGCCUGCCUUCCCAGACUACGGAGAUUGGAGGAAAAGCGCAGGAAUCAGCAUAUGAACAUUGCUGUGUGAUUCCAAUGCACCUGAUCUUUGAAUACUGGGAAUAUAGCUCCCGGAGCUGAAGUCGGACAGUCCUUUAUAGUGAGGCUGACACACUCUAGGCCAUGUUUCUUUGAGAACAAAAUUAUUUGUAAAUAAUUGAUAGCAUUUAAAAUUGGGGGUUUCUAUCCUUAAAACUUUGCAAUUUGGAACAUAAGUGCCUUCGCCCUAGAAGAAUUAGGCAGAGGUUUCAGACCCAGCUGCUUUUUCUCAUGGAACUGGGGCUCUUUAGAGAAAUCCAGAUAAGAUAAGAAGACGGAGAUGCGGAGGGAAGAAGGGACCCGAAGACCCAGCCGCCGAGCUCCUUUCAGCCCACCCAGUGUCAGACUAGAUGUGUCAGCUGUACUCUGUGGAGGCAGAAAUGUACGGAUGCCAUUCCAGGAUGAAACCAGGAGGAAAACAAGUAAUAUAAAGGCCAGAAGAAGCAGAAUUUCCUUGAGAAAAUGAUCCCAUAUGAAGCUGAAGCUUCCAUCUCAACAAAAAUCUGUCUCCUCCCCGCAAGGUGCCAAAUUCUGAUAUUUGGGUUUAGAGAUAUGCAGGAAGGAAUGUACACAAGAUCCGAGAACUGACUACCCUAGAACAAUCAAGAUUAAUGCUCCAGCCCGCCUCCUUUAGACACUUAGUCUGCAUGACGGCAGAUUUGUAAUGUGCACGGGUGUUCACAGGCCUCUUCCUGCAUUUCCAGGGUUAUGCGAGGAAAUGUUCUGAGCUAAGAGACAUACAACAAUAUUUAGUCCUACAGAAAUGUGGGUAUCCUGAUAGACGCAAUUUUCGGGUAUGCUGGAUAACUGGAUUAAUUCCAUAUAUUCCUGCCCUUUGAUUUGAUUCCUGCACAUUCUUUGUAGGGGCUGUUCAACAUGUGACUUUGUCUCUCUGUCUCCGUGGCUAUGUAUGAGCGGUACUCAGAAUUUGUUCAUUCAUCUAUUCACUCAAUAAAUAUUUAUUGUGCACCCACUGGGGUCCCUGAACACCGCCAUUUAUUAUUUUGUGCCAUAUUGGUUUAUUCCUUACAGAUGAUGAUAUACACACACCUAUGGCAUUCUUCCGUCACACUGGUUAGGAUUCAUUCACUGAUCAAGAGCUAUUUCAGUAGGGAACUAUGUAAAGAGGCAGCGCAAACCUCAUACAAAUCUAGCUGGGUCCACCUUCUAAAUACCGGAAAGCUGGGAGGUGGUGGGGAAAUGGGUGAGGUAGAU